UACGUAGGUGACAAGCGUUGUCCGGAUUUACUGGGCGUAAAGCGCGCGCAGGCGGUCCUUUAAGUCUGAUGUGAAAGCCCACGGCUCAACCGUGGAGGGUCAUUGGAAACUGGGGGACUUGAGUGCAGAAGAGGAAAGCGGAAUUCCACGUGUAGCGGUGAAAUGCGUAGAGAUGUGGAGGAACACCAGUGGCGAAGGCGGCUUUCUGGUCUGUAACUGACGCUGAGGCGCGAAAGCGUGGGGAGCAAACAGG
rnacentral:rRNA from 1 species